rnacentral:pre_miRNA from 1 species
UAUUAAAAAUUUCAUCCAUUUGUAUUAUUAAAAAUUGGCGUGGCUAAUCGAAUAAGCAAAUAGUGACAUGUGUCGUGCUACGUGUAUAUCAUGCUAAUGUAUAAGGGACUAGUUUUUAAUAGUAGAAAAGGAUGAAUUUUUUAGAG